rnacentral:rRNA from 1 species
GAUGAACGCUGGCGGCGUGCCUAAUACAUGCAAGUCGAGCGAACAGACGAGGAGCUUGCUCCUCUGACGUUAGCGGCGGACGGGUGAGUAACACGUGGAUAACCUACCUAUAAGACUGGGAUAACUUCGGGAAACCGGAGCUAAUACCGGAUAAUAUAUUGAACCGCAUGGUUCAAUAGUGAAAGACGGUUUUGCUGUCACUUAUAGAUGGAUCCGCGCCGCAUUAGCUAGUUGGUAAGGUAACGGCUUACCAAGGCGACGAUGCGUAGCCGACCUGAGAGGGUGAGCGGCCACACUGGAACUGAGACACGGUCCAGACUCCUACGGGAGGCAGCAGUAGGGAAUCUUCCGCAAUGGGCGAAAGCCUGACGGAGCAACGCCGCGUGAGUGAUGAAGGUCUUCGGAUCGUAAAACUCUGUUAUUAGGGAAGAACAAAUGUGUAAGUAACUAGGCACGUCUUGACGGUACCUAAUCAGAAAGCCACGGCUAACUACG